GAGGCCUUCUGGGUGGGGUUGGCGAGAAGCAAGAACGGGUGGGGGAGAAGGUCACUGUCUUAGCGGAUAGCGAGAUUUAUUUCUUUGGAUCCCGGAGAGCCUCAUGGGGAUGGCUUUGAUGCCAGACUCCUAGAAAUAUCUCUGAAGGACAUCCCUUCCUCACCCCCCUCACCCCUCCCGCGCAACUCACCCACCCACCCACACCACUCUCCUCUUUUCUCCUAAGAACCCUUGGAAAUUGGACCAUCAGGUUUUCCCAGAAUCUCCCACCCCUGCAAGGCUAGGGGCUGUAGGGCCAGGCCAGGCUUCUCUGAGCCUUGCGCACCCGCCCGCAGAGCCAUGUCUGGGUUCUCAUUACCACUACAAAGCCAGACGGACUGAGACUCCUAAAGCUGCGUUUUCAAAUGAGAACAUCAAGAGGCCAGAAACUUCCAAGGCAGCCCGCGGACGCUAUGCCGCCUGCUUUCCUGGCUUUAUCUCUAGGGAAAGUUCCAUGUUAAGAACCAGAUGCCAACAUUCCCGGACAGUUUAUGGCAUCCGGGUCCCUGGAGGGUGCCCAUCUGCAGUUUAGAGUGUUAGCUGCAAUUAUUUAUCGCCUGUCCUGGAGAGGAGUUCCUGAGCAUGGAUGUCCUCUGUUGGCCCUGGGGGGGUGGGGGGGGGCUGUUGGGAGGCGGUGCGACUGUUUCCCAUCCUGUUAUCUGCUUCAGCCUAGCUGGUGUGGUUUUCGAGGAAACAGCAUCUGGAUUACAUAAGGGUUCAAGUUUUCUUUCUUUCUUUCUUUCUUUCUUCCUUUCUUCCUUUCUUUCCUUGUCUAUUUAAUACCUUGGCAAGAGGGAGCCCUUACUCUGAAACCAGAUAACCGAAUUUGGGUUUAGAAUGGCCUUAGAUGAGGGGCAAAGGCGGGGGGGGGGGGGAGAGAAAAUGAACAAAGCCGCAAAAAGCAAACAAGGAGGUUGUUUAUUUUUUCUCCCUUGGGUUUUUUUUUUUUUUUUUUUUUUUGAAGACCUGCCUAACCUCUUCUACUUCUUGUCGCUCAUAGCUAAUAAAUUGUCUUAACCUAGCGCCGCAGCUACUGCUGUGGCUUAGCAGUCAUUGCCGCCCCCCCCCCAUCUCCUGUGCCACAAUCUAGCCCAUAAUUCCUUCUAGGAUUCACUGGAAAUUCUGCCAGCCAGGAGAUCACUGUGAACCGGGGUAAACGCCGUGCUAAAUCCAAUUGCUUUCAACUGUCUGAUCUCCCGGUAGGGAGAUCACCUUUCAGCUCCGCUCAAAGAAAGCAAAGUUUGGGAAGUUUGAUGGAAGGGGUGGGGGGGUGGGGAGUGAUUUAACUUCCAACACAGCAAAUAUUUAGUUACAGAUGCGGUGAAGAACCCGGAUCGGUGGCCGCCUUUGGCGUUCACAAAGGAUUUUCCUUGCCUUGCUGCCCAAUAGUGGAACCCUGGAGGAAAGGCCAAGUGAAAUUGGAUCUUCCACUUUAUUUUAACCAUGCCUGCAUUUCUUGGAGUCAGUGUGAUUAACACCUGACAUUCACAUCGGGGGACAAAGGAACCCUUCUGCACUGCUGGUGGCAAUGUCAAUGGGUCCAACCCUGUGGAGAGCAGUCUGGAGAUCUCUCAAAAGGCUAGAUAGAAGUGGACCUACCCUAUGACCCUGCCAUUUCUCUCCUGGAGAUACAUCCUAAGGAACCCAACACACCCAUCCAAAAAGAUUUGUGUUUACCUAUGUUCAUAGCAGCACAAUUUGUAAUAGCCAAAACCUGGAAGCAACUCAGGUGUCCAAGAACAGAUCAGUGGCUGAGCCAGUGGUGGUCUGUAUACACAAUGGAAUACUACUCAGCUAUUAAAAAUGGUGAUUUCACCUUCUUUACUCCAUCUUGGAUGGAGCUUGAAGGAAUCAUGUUAAGUGAGAUAAGUUAGAAACAGAAGGAUGACUAUGGGAUGAUAUCACUCUCAGGCAGAAGUUGAAAAACAAGAUCAGAAGGGAAAAGACUAAGCAGAUCUUCUUGGACUGGAGUUGGUGUA